UUUUCGUUCAUUUUACUGAUAGAUAAGCGUGUAUUUUUGUAGCUUCUUAUAAUUUUGUAAACAUACCUCAGCGGAUAUUUUAAGAACAUUCAGUACCUGGUGCAUCCAUGGGACAAACCGUGAUCGCGAUAUUGCUUGAUAGCACCCUGGCGAAUGAUAACCGUACGAUAACAUUAAUGGUCGGUAAUCUUAUCGUGGAAGAUUUUUACAUGGAAAUUAUGGCAAAGAAAAGAUGUCGGAGGCAAAGUAACGAUCAAUUUUUAUCGCUUCUGAACAAUGGAGCGAAACGAAAAUUACAGUUCAGAAUUUGCCUGGAGAAACAUUAAGUUUUACAGUUAAACCACGCACGUGUCCUCGAAAGUAGCAAUAAAGUGAUACUUGUAUUCGUG